UCUGUGUUCCUCCGGCCUGGGCGAGCACGUGGGGGAGCGGCCGAAGCGCUCCUCUGCGGCCGGGCCGCGGGGCGAGGCAGGGGUUGGGGGGCGGCGGGACCCCGACGGUCUGCGAGGAGCUGACAAGGUCUCACUAAGUUCCCCAGAGUGGGCUCAAACUUGAGAUCUUACUGCUUCAGCCUCCUGGAGUGCUGGGACUUACAGGUGUGUGCCACCACACCCAGCUUGAUCUCACUUAUUUUAACCUUUAAGAUAGUAAUACAUUCCAAACCAGGUGGUGGAGGGUUAAAUGAUACAGG
rnacentral:lncRNA from 1 species